GCAGCCAGCCCUGCUCCUGGCGGCGGUGCCCAGUUGGCCGGGGCGCGCUGCAGUGCAGGGCAAGAGCAGGGUGCCCAGGCAGCUAGCGCACGCGGCCCAGGCAGGCACACAGCAAGCAGCGGCAAGCAGAAAUUCAGCGCAGCAAGCCGACGUCAAGCACAAGCGAAAUUCAACAGGGCCUCUGUCACUUUUGUGCAUGUGUAUGCUUUGUUCUUGAUUGUGUGCAGGUAUUCAUCAAGCAAGUACGUAUGUGAGAAAUCUGUUGGUGGAACUCCGGUGAUCUGCGAUGAACUUCAGUGAUGCCCACCAAGUAUUCGUGAAAAUGCUGCACAAGAAUAUUGGACUUAAUAAGAUGGACUGGUCUGGGUCCUGGACCCAGUCCCCCACCCCCCAAGAUGUUUGAUGGAAUUUCUAACCGGACUGGUAAGUUGGAUGAUGCUUGUUUGUUUCAGUCCCAGAGCAAAUUGGUGGUCUAUCAUUGCAUCCUUUAACACGAUGUGUACCAAUGUGGGGAGGGAGGAAGCAAAUGCAUGCUAACUCAGUUUGACGGUGACUGCUGUGACAUGUUCCAUGCAUGCCUCAAAUGAAUGUAGUAUGGCACGAACUUUUCUGACUAUAUGAAGGCACAGCCUAUUCACAAAAUAUUAGCUUUCUGCAGCUUUAUUA